UUUUUAAGUAACCGCCUUGAACCUUCAGAAAACACCACGAAGGGAGAGGUACGAUGCAAAUCCAAGUAACUCCUGGAAAGAAAGCUGCACGGCCUGAGGCUAGCUGGAUUCUUGGGGGAAUCCACCAAGGUCACUCACGGCUGAAUUCUUACUUCCAGAAUCCGAGAGACACACGCAGAGCUUCGGCGGGGCGACCUCACGGACCCACACCCCCAAACCCCACGUAUCCGAGGGAACAAUCAAUGUCCACGUGGAAGAACCAACCAACCAAAAGAGCAAUGCACGUGCCGGGGGGGUUGGGGCUCCAAAGAAAUGUGCCGAGCACACGCAGGAGCUUGCACGAGCUCAGCUGACCGAGGGGAGGCUCGGACGGACGGAGAAAUACCCACAGCGCCGGACGGACGGGAGAUCGCACCGUGGUGCUGACACCAAACCUGGGCAACCUCCUCUCCGGGAAAACAAAUCCCAGGAAACCGCUGACAACUGGCGACAAUCCAUUACAGAAACUGAAAUGGGAUCCCACACAAACGCCGGAAAAGCGCUGCCCUGUGGCGCCCACCCGGGGCGGAGCUCGGCCCCGACGCUCGGGGCGCCCCACGUCGCGCGCGACCGGAAGAGGCCCGUGGCCCCGCCCCUCUCUGCGUCGUGGGCGGGGCGUCGCCGGCCGGGAGCCGCAGUCUCGCGAUAGCGCAAUUUCCCGCGUGCGGCUGCGCGGUGAUGGCCGCCUGGGUUCCUCCGCGGCCGCGGGCCGGCGGUCGGUGGAGCUCGCCCUGGAUGGUCGCCUGCCCUGGAGGCUCCGGUGAGCCGCUUCCGGCGCUCCAGGUUCCCCCGGAAGAGGGGACGUUUCCUGAGCUUCAUUCACCGUAACCCGCCGCCGGCCUCUCCUACCUCCACGGUGGAGGGGGUGUUCGUGGUCCCUCCAGCCCUGCCUCCCGCUGCCCCUGUGCCGGGGCCUGCAGGGACACCACCGUGGAAAUGUCACCUCCCCCCACGUCUCCGACUCUUCCCUUACCUGUCCGCUGCGGAGUCUCUCGUCUUCCGACGAAAAUCUCCACCAAGCACCAUCCCUCUCAGCACAGCACCUUCCAAAAUCUCGUCUUCUCACGAAAUAUUAGCAACAAUGAACAGGUCGUGAAGGAUAAAUACCUGCUCCAAAGACCAGAAGCCUCCAAGCAUCCCGGCCCUGCUCCAGCAUUUCUGCAGACCAUUCAGCCCUCACCUCCAGACAAAAGCAAGAAGGUUUCACAGAAGAAAGAGGGUGAAUCAUCCAGAGGUAGAGACCCAGAGAUGAAAGACCUGGUUCCUGCAGCUGAAGGAUUUCGCAAACUAUGGGAGGCAGCUGAACGGCCUGGAGGGGGAUGGAGUGAAUAGAAAACACCACAUCUAUUUACAUCUCCGGGUGAUAAGUACAAGGGUAAGGAUCUGCGGUGGUUCUGAGGGGGGAUAAGGAUCUGGAACGCCGAGAAGCAGUGAAACAUCUGAAAGGAGCCCUGGCUUCCAGGCCCAGGCAGGCCACUUGCUUAUAACCUGAAAACAAAACAGAAUGCAUGUCCUCGUCUCCCUGGAGGGUCAAGAUGAUGUUGAGAUAAUGUGGGUCCGCUGCAAAGGACAAUUUGAAUGUUAACAAAGGAAUUUUCUUGAAGACAGGGCCAUUUCUGUCCUUAUCGAUAUAAUCAGGCUGGCUUCUUUGGAUAAGAUAUGGAUUUUUUUCCAGUCCCCUUUGCACUUCAGAGCAGUUUCUUUGCCCAGCACCUUGAUUUCUUUUUCUAGUAAGGACAGGCUAACCUCCACUAGGCCUCCUCUGCCCUGUGUUCUGGAGCCUGGACCCUAAGCCAGAGCCUAGCGGAGGCCCACGGCCCCCAGCAGGGGCCAGAAGUCGCUUCUAAGCUGUUAACUUCAAUACCCAGGGUCACCUGGGUGGUUCACUGGUUGAGCGGCUGCCUUUGACUCAGGUCGUGAUCCUGUGGUCCUGGGAUCAAGCCCUGCACUGGGAUCCCUUCAAGGAGCCUGUGUCUCUGCCUCUCUCUGUGUGUCUCUCAUGAAUAAAUAAAUAAAAUCUUUAAAACA
ensembl:lncRNA